rnacentral:tRNA from 1 species
UCCUGGUUAGCUCAGUUGGUAGACAGCUUCAUUGAUAUGAAGAGGUUCCUGGCUCGAUACCAGGACCAGGAU